rnacentral:rRNA from 1 species
AUGAAGGGGUGCACAUCAUUGAGCGGGAAGCAGCAGGCAGGACGCCGUGGAGCAGGGGCGUCGUCGUCCUCAAGCCACCCUCUCCCGCUCAAUGGAUGUGACCUCGCCGGUGCCGACAUGACGAAGGACGGCGAGCCUUGGGCGAAAAUCACCGGAGAGGUGCGCUACAUGGAUGUCGAUUUCUGCAAGGGGACUAAAAACCUACCCGAAUUUGACUGGGGUAUACCUCUAUCCUCUCCUGAUGCUGCUUUCAAUGGCACUGACAAAAGUGACCAUUGUUGCCACUUACUGAACCCUGCGAGAAGAGUUUGCUCUGAUGGAUAUGACUAUGGUCGUAGAUUUCUUGUUUGUCCUCGUGAGGGUUAUGAUACAUGUGCUUAUCUGAAGUGGGUGGACAAAGAAUGGCAGGGGAGACCUAGGCAGGUGAUUGGCAAACUUGCUGAAGAGAAUGUGGCUCUUCAGAAAUUUGUGUUUGACAAGGAUGCUGAAAUUAUGAGGCUGAGGGAAGAAAGGAAGGCCAUGAUCAUGAAGCACAAGAAGGAGAUCAGAACUAGGGAUAGGAGGGAAAUUUGGUUAGCCUGUUUGGUCUGCUGCUCUGCACUGUUGUAUGGUGUUGUAGCACUAGUGAUAAGAGGUUUUGUGUAG